UCUCUGUACAUAGUAAAUUGUUCUUUAUCGCAUUCACACGCUCAACACUCUCAAAAAGAAAACCAAGUUUUCAGCUCCCUGAUUCUGACUUUUCAUCACCAUUGCCAAUUCACUUCAAAUUUCAAACCCUAUUUUCCAUAAUUCCUUCAUUAAUCGCUUAAUCCAUAAGCUCUCAGGGUAGGGAAUAAAACCCUAAAAAAUCGUCUUUUGAAUAUUUUUAAUUUACCCCAAAAUUAGAAAUUAGUCGAAAAGUGGAAGAUCAAAGAAAUAGGGUGAGUGAAGAAUUGAGGAUUAGUUUUUUUAUUUUUAUUUUUAAUUUGUGUUAAAGAUGGAAACUUUGGGUGGUAAUUCAUCACCAUCACCAUCAUUAUCAUCAGCAUCAUCAUCAUCAUCUUUUGGAGGGAUUAAUACUGAUGAUAACAAUGGUAGUGUAUCUUGGUAUGGAAUGAGGUUACCUGUUAACCCCUUUUUGUCACCGAUUUCGUUUUUGUUGGAUUAUUCUGGAAUUUUGCGUUCGGGUAAUGAUUCUGAGGGUAUGAUUGUCAACAAUGGAGUUUCUGGUUCGGAGUUACGACCUCAGGUUGAUGCUGGUGGUGCUGUUGCUGGGAGUAGUGCAGGGGAGGUUGCAAUAAGAAUUAUUGGAGCUGGAGAGAAUAUUCAUAAUCAGGUUGGGGAAGUGGGUUAUGAUGAUUGCGGUGAGGAGCUUAUUGCUGAGAGAAGUGGAAUGCCUGGAUUGGGUGAGAAUGAUGCCGAGGGUCGUGGUGGAAUUGAGGCUAGUGAAGGGGUUCCUCUUGUGUCUUCAUCUUCUUCUUCGUCGUUGGCUGGUAGUGGGCAGGUUGAUGGUGAGGCUGCUGGGAAUGGAACAGAAAAUAACAGGGAUUCGUCUUCUUACCAGAGAUAUGAUAUUCAGCUGGUUGCUAAGUGGAUUGAGCAGAUUCUUCCUUUCUCGCUUUUGUUGUUGGUUGUUUUCAUUCGACAGCAUUUACAAGGUUUCUUUGUCACAAUUUGGAUAGCGGCUGUGAUGUUCAAGUCAAAUGAAAUUGUUAAGAAGCAGACAGCUUUGAAGGGAGAUAGGAAAGUCUCUUUGCUUGCUGGUAUCGCUUUUGCAUUCAUUCUUCAUGUGAUAUGCAUUUACUGGUGGUAUCGAAAUGAUGAUAUUUUAUAUCCACUGGCCAUGUUACCUCCUAACCCAACACCUUUCUGGCAUGCAAUAUUCACGAUCUUGGUCAAUGAUAUAUUGAUGCGGCAAGUUGCAAUGGCUUUUAAGUGUAUCCUUCUUAUAUAUUACAAAAAGGGGAAAGGUCAUAACUUCCGUCGGCAGGCUCAAAUGUUAACUCUUGUUGAGUACACGCUGUUGUUGUAUCGUGCCUUGUUGCCAACACCAGUCUGGUACCGGUUUUUCUUGAAUAGGGAAUAUGGAAGUCUCUUUUCGUCACUGACCACAGGGUUGUAUUUAACUUUCAAGCUAACAUCUGUGGUUGAGAAGGUCCAAUGCUUUAUUUCUGCCUUGAAAGCAUUAUCAAGAAAGGAAGUUCAUUACGGGGUCUAUGCCACAGCAGAACAGGUUACUGCUGCCGGUGACCUAUGUGCUAUAUGCCAGGAGAAGAUGCAUUCCCCUAUCUUGUUGCGCUGUAAACACAUUUUCUGCGAAGAUUGUGUAUCUGAGUGGUUUGAGAGAGAAAGGACUUGCCCCCUAUGCAGAGCAUUGGUUAAAGCAGCUGAUCUUCGCACCUUCGGAGAUGGAUCAACAAGUUUGUUCUUCCAGUUGUUUUAAUCAACUCAUGAUCUUUGGAUUGGAUCAUAGUUUUUGACCAGCCUUUGCUUAAAAAGUACCAUGCAUCUUAUUCUUACUCUGAUUCGAUGAGAUUUUUUAUCAAAGGAAUGGUUAUGAAUUGAAAGUUCACUUCAGUUGCAACAAUGUCAGAUGUACAAAUUAAGGGCUUUGCUCAGCUGUGAGAUACUCAAAAUCGGGGGAACCUGCUAACCUGAUAUAUUCCUCGUAUACUAUGAUGAACACAAACUUGUUCUUAAUGUUACAUUAUUUUGAUAUUAAUCCCCAUUUCUUUGAAGUUUGUAUAUGUUUUUGCACAGACUUUAUUGAAAUAUGUUAACUAAGUUAUUACACUUGGAAGUGCUGAAAUUGCCAUAUGUAAAAGAAAUUUGGAUUUGGAUGCUUUUGUUGAUUGUCA